rnacentral:rRNA from 2 species
UUAAAAUGUAAAUUUUAUUAUUAAAGUAGUAUUAGUUAUGAUCUUGAAAUUUAAAGAUUUUGGCGGUGUUUUAGUCUAUUUAGAGGAACCUGUUCUGUAAUUGAUAGUCCACGAAUAAUCAUACUUUAUUUAAUUAAUUUGUAUAUCGUUGUUAUUAAGUAUUUUAAAAGAAAUUGAAUAUUUAGAUUUUUUAAUAAAAAUAUAUUUCAGAUCAAGGUGCAGUUUAUAAUAAAGAAGAAAUGGGUUACAAUAAAAUUAUUUAUGCGGAUUUAUAUAUUAAAAUAAUAAAGAAGAUGGAUUUAAUAGUAAUAAUAUUAAUAUAAAUUUUAUGAUUUAAGCUCUAAAAUGUGU